UACGUAGGGGGCAAGCGUUGUCCGGAAUCAUUGGGCGUAAAGCGCGUGUAGGCGGCUCGAUAAGUCCGCUGGGAAAGUCCAGGGCUCAACCCUGGAAUGCCGGUGGAUACUGUCGGGCUAGAGUCCGGAAGAGGCGAGUGGAAUUCCUGGUGUAGCGGUGGAAUGCGCAGAUAUCAGGAGGAACACCGAUGGCGAAGGCAGCUCGCUGGGACGGUACUGACGCUGAGGCGCGAAAGCGUGGGGAGCGAACAGG
rnacentral:rRNA from 1 species